AACACGGUUGAGCUACAGCAACGACACUGUCAUAGACAACACAUAAACAACAAUCACAACAAACAACCAGGAAGAAGUUUGUAUCGGGGAAAUGUGAACGACAACUGACCACUGAAGUCACACAAGCCUUUACUCUAUAACAAUGGCACCAUCAAAACAGAGAGCUCAAGGCCUGAGGAGAGAAAUAGACACUCUCCCACCCUGUUCAUCUGCAUUUGUAAGGCUGUCUCCAGAGAAGCUCUUGCCAGAGACUCGAUUGAAGUCAUACUGUAGCUCCUGCUAUGUCACAGCCCUACCUAUUAAAUGGACUGUUUAAUUCUCCCUCCAUUCAACUAACUCUGCAUUCAGAGGUGGCAGGGUAGCCUAGUGGUUAGAGCAUUGGACUAGUAACUGAAAGGUUGCAAGUUCAAACCUUUGAGCUGACAUGGUACAAAUCUGUCGUUCUGCCCCUGAACAGGCAGAACCCCCUCGGAACCCACUGUUCCUAGGCCGUCGUUGAAAAUUCAAUUUUAGUUAAAUAAAGGUAAAAUAAAUAAAAAACUGGGACCAAC